rnacentral:rRNA from 1 species
UACGGGGGGAGCAAGCGUUGUUCGGAUUUACUGGGCGUAAAGGGCGCGUAGGCGGUCGUGACAAGUCACUUGUGAAAUCUCCGGGCUCAACUCGGAGGGGCCACCCGAUACUGCUGUGACUCGAGUCCGGUAGGGGAGUGGGGAAUUCCUGGUGUAGCGGUGAAAUGCGCAGAUAUCAGGAGGAACACCGGUGGCGAAGGCGGGUCUCUGGGCAGUAACUGACGCUGAGGAGCGAAAGCGUGGGGAGCGAACAGG